GAUGAAGAACGUAGCGAAAUGCGAUACUUGGUGUGAAUUGCAGAAUCCCGUGAACCAUCGAGUCUUUGAACGCAAGUUGCGCCCGAAGCCACUAGGCCGAGGGCACGCCUGCCUGGGCGUCACACGCCGUUGCCCCCCCAUCUACUCCUUCGGGAUUGCGGGGGGGCGGAUGAUGGCCUCCCGUGCGCCUAGCCGCGCGGUUGGCAUAAAUACCAAGUCCUCGGCGACGCACGCCACGACAAUCGGUGGUUGCGAAACCUCGGUUGCCCGUCGUGUGCGUUCGUCGCGCAUCGAGGGCUCGAAAAAAUGCUCGGCUCCGGCUGGGCUUUCAACGCGACCCCACGUCAGGCGGGGUUACCCGCUGAAUUUAAGCAUAUCAAUAAGCGGAGGA
rnacentral:misc_RNA from 1 species